rnacentral:rRNA from 1 species
AUUGAACGCUGGCGGCAUGCUUUACACAUGCAAGUCGAGCGGCAGCGCGGGGGCAACCCUGGCGGCGAGCGGCGGACGGGUGAGUAAUGCAUCGGAACGUAUCCCGUAGUGGGGGACAACCCAGCGAAAGCUGGGCUAAUACCGCAUAUGCUCUACGGAGGAAAGUGGGGGACCGCAAGGCCUCACGCUAUGGGAGCGGCCGAUGUCCGAUUAGCUAGUUGGUGGGGUAAUGGCUUACCAAGGCGACGAUCGGUAGCUGGUCUGAGAGGAUGAUCAGCCACACUGGGACUGAGACACGUCCCAGACGCCUACGGGAGGAAGCAGUAGGGAAUUUUCCACAAUGGGGGCAACCCUGAUGGAGCAAUGCCGCGUGAGAGAAGAAGGCCUUCGGGUUGUAAAUCUCUGUUAUAAGUGAAGAAAAGUACAAGUAGGAAAUGGCUUGUAUCUGACAUUAGCUUAUCAGAAAGCCACGGCUAACUACGUGCCAGCAGCCGCGGUAAAAC